rnacentral:rRNA from 1 species
GCUUGCUCUUAUGGGUGGCGAGUGGCGGACGGGUGAGGAAUACAUCGGAAUCUACCUUUUCGUGGGGGAUAACGUAGGGAAACUUACGCUAAUACCGCAUACGACCUUCGGGUGAAAGCAGGGGACCUUCGGGCCUUGCGCGGAUAGAUGAGCCGAUGUCGGAUUAGCUAGUUGGCGGGGUAAAGGCCCACCAAGGCGACGAUCCGUAGCUGGUCUGAGAGGAUGAUCAGCCACACUGGAACUGAGACACGGUCCAGACUCCUACGGGAGGCAGCAGUGGGGAAUAUUGGACAAUGGGCGCAAGCCUGAUCCAGCCAUACCGCGUGGGUGAAGAAGGCCUUCGGGUUGUAAAGCCCUUUUGUUGGGAAAGAAAAGCAGUCGAUUAAUACUCGGUUGUUCUGACGGUACCCAAAGAAUAAGCACCGGCUAACUUCGUGCCAGCAGCCGCGGUAAUACGAAGGGUGCAAGCGUUACUCGGAAUUACUGGGCGUAAAGCGUGCGUAGGUGGUUGUUUAAGUCUGUUGUGAAAGCCCUGGGCUCAACCUGGGAAU